AAAAUGCUGAGUAUUUUGAAGAAGAAAUACUGGAACACGUAAAAACAUAUGGUCCAAAGUUAAUCAGUACAAUUGAAAAUUGGAUUAAAAUGUCUGAAAAAGAAUUAACUGAAGAUGAAAAACUUGUUCCUGGAUAUCCAUUAUUGCCACUUUCCAAGGGUUUUUGCCCAUCAAUCAUCAAAGCACUAAGAGAUUACAC